rnacentral:rRNA from 1 species
GACGAACGCUGGCGGCGUGCUUAACACAUGCAAGUCGAACGGAAAGGCCCUGCUUUUGUGGGGUGCUCGAGUGGCGAACGGGUGAGUAACACGUGAGUAACCUGCCCUUGACUUUGGGAUAACUUCAGGAAACUGGGGCUAAUACCGGAUAUGAUCUCCUGCUGCAUGGUGGGGGUUGGAAAGUUUCGGCGGUUGGGGAUGGACUCGCGGCUUAUCAGCUUGUUGGUGGGGUAGUGGCUUACCAAGGCUUUGACGGGUAGCCGGCCUGAGAGGGUUAACGGCGACAUUGGGACUGAGAGACGGACCAGACUCCUACGGGAGGCAGCAGGGGGGAAUAUUGCACAAUGGGCGGAAGCCUGAUGCAGAAACGCCGCGUGCGGGAUGACGGCCUUCGGGUUGUAAACCGCUUUCGCAUGUGACGAAGCGUGAGUGACGGUAAUGGGUAAAGAAGCACCGGCUAACUACGUG